rnacentral:rRNA from 1 species
GAUGAACGCUGACAGAAUGCUUAACACAUGCAAGUCAACUGUGGCGGACGGGUGAGUAACGCGUAAAGAACUUGCCUCACAGAUAGGGACAACAUUUGGAAACGAGUGCUAAUACCGGAUACUGUGAGAGAGCUUUGGGUCCCAUUAGCUAGUUGGAGAGGUAACGGCUCACCAAGGCGAUGAUGGGUAGCCGGCCUGAGACGGUGAUCGGCCAAAAGGGGACUGAGGAGCGACCCUUACUCAUUCGUGAGGCAGCAGUGGAGAAUAGUGGAAAAUGGACCAAAGUUUGAACCAGCAAUUCUGUGUGUAAGAUGAUGUUUUCGGAAUGUAAAGUGUUUUCAGUUGUGAAGCGGUACCCACAGAAGAAGUGACGGCUAACUCCGUGCCAGCAGCCGCGGUAAUAC